rnacentral:rRNA from 1 species
GGGUUGUGAGGUUAAGCGACUAAGCGUACACGGUGGAUGCCCUGGCAGUCAGAGGCGAUGAAGGGCGUGCUAAUCUGCGAUAAGCGCCGGUAAGGUGAUAUGAACCGUUAUAACCGGCGAUACCCGAAUGGGGAAACCCAGUGUGACUCGUCACACUAUCAUUAACUGAAUCCAUAGGUUAAUGAGGCGAACCGGGGGAACUGAAACAUCUAAGUACCCCGAGGAAAAGAAAUCAACCGAGAUUCCCCCAGUAGCGGCGAGCGAACGGGGAGGAGCCCAGAGCCUGAAUCAGCAUGUGUGUUAGUGGAAGCGUCUGGAAAGGCGCGCGAUACAGGGUGACAGCCCCGUACACAAAAGCGCAUGUGCUGUGAGCUCGAUGAGUAGGGCGGGACACGUGGUAUCCUGUCUGAAUAUGGGGGGACCAUCCUCCAAGGCUAAAUACUCCUGACUGACCGAUAGUGAACCAGUACCGUGAGGGAAAGGCGAAAAGAACCCCGGCGAGGGGAGUGAAAAAGAACCUGAAACCGUGUACGUACAAGCAGUGGGAGCACCCUUUGGGGUGUGACUGCGUACCUUUUGUAUAAUGGGUCAGCGACUUAUAUUCUGUAGCAAGGUUAACCGAAUAGGGGAGCCGGAGGGAAACCGAGUCUUAAUUGGGCGUUAAGUUGCAGGGUAUAGACCCGAAACCCGGUGAUCUAGCCAUGGGCAGGUUGAAGGUUGGGUAACACUAACUGGAGGACCGAACCGACUAAUGUUGAAAAAUUAGCGGAUGACCUGUGGCUGGGGGUGAAAGGCCAAUCAAACCGGGAGAUAGCUGGUUCUCCCCGAAAGCUAUUUAGGUAGCGCCUCGUGAAUUCAUCUCCGGGGGUAGAGCACUGUUUCGGCUAGGGGGCCAUCCCGGCUUACCAACCCGAUGCAAACUGCGAAUACCGGAGAAUGUUAUCACGGGAGACACACGGCGGGUGCUAACGUCCGUCGUGAAGAGGGAAACAACCCAGACCGCCAGCUAAGGUCCCAAAGUCAUGGUUAAGUGGGAAACGAUGUGGGAAGGCCCAGACAGCCAGGAUGUUGGCUUAGAAGCAGCCAUCAUUUAAAGAAAGCGUAAUAGCUCACUGGUCGAGUCGGCCUGCGCGGAAGAUGUAACGGGGCUAAACCAUGCACCGAAGCUGCGGCAGCGACACUCAGGUGUUGUUGGGUAGGGGAGCGUUCUGUAAGCCUGCGAAGGUGGCCUGUGAGGGUUGCUGGAGGUAUCAGAAGUGCGAAUGCUGACAUAAGUAACGAUAAAGCGGGUGAAAAGCCCGCUCGCCGGAAGACCAAGGGUUCCUGUCCAACGUUAAUCGGGGCAGGGUGAGUCGACCCCUAAGGCGAGGCCGAAAGGCGUAGUCGAUGGGAAACGGGUUAAUAUUCCCGUACUUGGUGUUACUGCGAAGGGGGGACGGAGAAGGCUAUGUUGGCCGGGCGACGGUUGUCCCGGUUUAAGCGUGUAGGUGUGUGUUCCAGGUAAAUCCGGUUCACUUUAACAC